ensembl:lncRNA
GUCCUAGCGGCUAGGACCUCCCUCCAUCGAAGCUGCUGCGUGUGGAAGCCCAGCCCUACGUGGGGACGUGGGGACACGGAGCUCCUGCCUGCACGUGUUUCCCCGCCUCUCCUCCCCAGGCAGUGCUAUUUAAAGUGACGGUGGUUUGGCUCGCUAGUUUUUUAAAAAACCAUUCCCGUACUCGAGCCGAGUUCCACAAGGCCAGCUGUCACCACUAAAAAUGUCUAUCGUGUGACAGCCACCAGUGAGGAGAUGGGAGGAGGCAGGGGGCCCCGGAUGGGACCACAGCGUGGCUGGAUUUAAAAAAAAAAAACCCACCAAAAAUCAGCGCUGCAAAGAAGAGACAAAAGCUAGGAGGGGGCUGCUCUUUCCUCUCCGUCUAGUUUCCUUUGCCAGAUCCUCGCAGCCCUGCUGGUGCCCGGAUGGCAGCAGGCGCCACGUCCCCGUGGGGACAGGUGGAGAGGGGGUCCAGGGUCCUGGCACGUGGGCUGUUAGCCCCAGCCCCUUCCCACACUGGGCUUGGUGGGCACCGCGCCCCUGCGGGUCCUCCCAGCCAUCCUCCAUCUGUGCCUCCCUACGCCCUCAUCCCACUCCCACGGGAAACGGAAGAAGCCACUCUCCCAAGGCUGCGGUCCAUGGGAGCCGAUGCAGGGCUUCCCAUGGGAGGGAAGACAUUUGACAAGCCCCUCCUGGGUCAAACGCUUCCAUGAGUCAUUUUUCAAGUGACUCGGUGUUCACAAUAAACUUGAAGAGGAGCCUCUGUCCCCCGCAUUUUCCUGAUAGGGAAACUGAGGAUCCCUGGGCAGAGCACCGGCCUAAGGCAGACCAGUAGGGGAUGGGAGCACAGGUCAGCUGGGUGGGAGGCCUGGCUUAGGACACCCUUAUAAUGUGUGAGCAAGAGAGUCUCUGGCCUCAACCUCCCCAGCUGUGAAAUGGGGCAAUAGCACAACUGUUUCCCAAAGAUGUGGGGGUGAAAUAAAACCAGGCCUAUCCCACAAUGGGGAAAGUGACUGAGGCAUAGAAUGUACUGGAAGGUUGAGAGCCGGGACAGGAUCCAGAUUCCAGAAGUCAGGGUCCUUCCACUGCACACUGUAGCCUCUCAAGGCAGCCAGGAGUAGGGCCUGGAGGAGCUGGGGGUGGAGGGGGAGUGAGAGGCGGUCACUCCCUGCUCUCCUAGUCCCAACACCUAGGUGUGGCCCCUUUGGUCCCUGGGCGGGGGGAGCUGUGGGCUUCCUGAUCACGAAUCUGAAGCUGUAGCUUCUCUGGUGGGGGCUCCUGUCUAGAUGUCCUACAGCAGGGAGGGGAGCAGGCAAGCAGAAGCCCACACCAACAGAUGGUUUUUGAAAAGAAAAAGGAAAUGAUACAAUUAUUGGAGAAAAACUCCAAAGACGAUUUUUGUGUCUCAGGAACUGCUUCCUCCCAAUCUUCUCAGGGCUCUCUUCAUCCUGCUCAAAGAAAGAGACUCAGGUAAGUCAUUCACACUUUAGUAUAAUUAUCGUCACCACAUAUGGCGUAACUCCUCUACGCCAGUAGCUCCUCUAGGUGUUUUCCUCUUAAGAGGUUUUGCUUGUCCCUCUGGAAGGUAUGUGUCCAUCUGUUAAAAGUUCUUUUAGACAUUCGUUUCUUUAUUCACUCAGCAAACAUUUAUUGAGCACCAGUGGUGUGCCAGA